rnacentral:rRNA from 1 species
CAGUAGCCACGGGAAUACCAGCAGCCCAAGUGGUGGUCGCGCUUAUUGGGCCUAAAGCGCUCGUAGCCUGGCCGGUAAGUUCCCCGUGAAAUCGGGUCGCCCAACGAUUCGGCUUGCGGGGAAUACUGUCGGUCUUGGGGCCGGGAGACGCCGAGGGUACUCCGGGGGUAGCGGUGAAAUGCUGUAAUCCUCGGGGGACUACCAGUGGCGAAGGCGCUCGGCGAUAACGGGCCUGACGGUGAGGGGCGAAAGCUGGGGGCGCGAACGGGAUUAGAUACCCCUGUAGUCCCUGUCUCUUAUA